AGAGUUUGAUCCUGGCUCAGGAUGAACGCUGGCGGCGUGCCUAAUACAUGCAAGUCGAACGCGCAGCGAGAGGUGCUUGCACCUUUCAAGCGAGUGGCGAACGGGUGAGUAACACGUGGAUAACCUGCCUCAAGGCUGGGGAUAACAUUUGGAAACAGAUGCUAAUACCGAAUAAAACUUAGUAUCGCAUGAUAUCAAGUUAAAAGGCGCUACGGUGUCACCUAGAGAUGGAUCCGCGGUGCAUUAGUUAGUUGGUGGGGUAAAGGCUUACCAAGACGAUGAUGCAUAGCCGAGUUGAGAGACUGAUCGGCCACAUUGGGACUGAGACACGGCCCAAACUCCUACGGGAGGCAGCA
rnacentral:rRNA from 1 species